rnacentral:misc_RNA from 1 species
GAUUGAAGAACGUAGCGAAAUGCGAUAAGUAAUGUGAAUUGCAGAAUUCAGUGAAUCAUCGAAUCUUUGAACGCACAUUGCGCCCGCCAGUAUUCUGGCGGGCAUGCCUGUUCGAGCGUCAUUUCAACCAUCAAGCCCCAGGCUUGUGUUGGGGACCUGCGGCUGCCGCAGGCCCUGAAAACCAGUGGCGGGCUCGCUGUCACACCGGGCGUAGUAGAUUUUAUCUCGCUCAGGGCGUGCUGCGGGUUCCGGCCGUUAAAAAGCCUUUUUUACCCAAGGUUGACCUCGGAUCAGGUAGGAAGACCCGCUGAACUUAAGCAUAUCAAUAAGCGGAGGA